ensembl:ncRNA F53G2.10 ncRNA
CAAAUUCGAAUUCCUCGCAAAAUGUGGACUUAGAAAUUAAAAACUAGAGGUUUUUAGCUCAAUUUUGAAAUUU